GGUUAAGCGACUAAGCGUACACGGUGGAUGCCCUGGCAGUCAGAGGCGAUGAAGGGCGUGCUAAUCUGCGAUAAGCGCCGGUAAGGUGAUAUGAACCGUUAUAACCGGCGAUACCCGAAUGGGGAAACCCAGUGUGACUCGUCACACUAUCAUUAACUGAAUCCAUAGGUUAAUGAGGCGAACCGGGGGAACUGAAACAUCUAAGUACCCCGAGGAAAAGAAAUCAACCGAGAUUCCCCCAGUAGCGGCGAGCGAACGGGGAGGAGCCCAGAGCCUGAAUCAGCAUGUGUGUUAGUGGAAGCGUCUGGAAAGGCGCGCGAUACAGGGUGACAGCCCCGUACACAAAAGCGCAUGUGCUGUGAGCUCGAUGAGUAGGGCGGGACACGUGGUAUCCUGUCUGAAUAUGGGGGGACCAUCCUCCAAGGCUAAAUACUCCUGACUGACCGAUAGUGAACCAGUACCGUGAGGGAAAGGCGAAAAGAACCCCGGCGAGGGGAGUGAAAAAGAACCUGAAACCGUGUACGUACAAGCAGUGGGAGCACAGGUUUACCUGUGUGACUGCGUACCUUUUGUAUAAUGGGUCAGCGACUUAUAUUCUGUAGCAAGGUUAACCGCAUAGGGGAGCCGGAGGGAAACCGAGUCUUAAUUGGGCGUUAAGUUGCAGGGUAUAGACCCGAAACCCGGUGAUCUAGCCAUGGGCAGGUUGAAGGUUGGGUAACACUAACUGGAGGACCGAACCGACUAAUGUUGAAAAAUUAGCGGAUGACCUGUGGCUGGGGGUGAAAGGCCAAUCAAACCGGGAGAUAGCUGGUUCUCCCCGAAAGCUAUUUAGGUAGCGCCUCGUGAAUUCAUCUCCGGGGGUAGAGCACUGUUUCGGCUAGGGGGCCAUCCCGGCUUACCAACCCGAUGCAAACUGCGAAUACCGGAGAAUGUUAUCACGGGAGACACACGGCGGGUGCUAACGUCCGUCGUGAAGAGGGAAACAACCCAGACCGCCAGCUAAGGUCCCAAAGUCAUGGUUAAGUGGGAAACGAUGUGGGAAGGCCCAGACAGCCAGGAUGUUGGCUUAGAAGCAGCCAUCAUUUAAAGAAAGCGUAAUAGCUCACUGGUCGAGUCGGCCUGCGCGGAAGAUGUAACGGGGCUAAACCAUGCACCGAAGCUGCGGCAGCGAACGUAUCACUUAAAGCGAUUCAGCGGGUUACGAUUGACGGAGCGAAGCGACGUCAAAGCGUAUACAAAGUCGAGUCGGUUUAAGGAUACGUUCGUUGGGUAGGGGAGCGUUCUGUAAGCCUGCGAAGGUGGCCUGUGAGGGUUGCUGGAGGUAUCAGAAGUGCGAAUGCUGACAUAAGUAACGAUAAAGCGGGUGAAAAGCCCGCUCGCCGGAAGACCAAGGGUUCCUGUCCAACGUUAAUCGGGGCAGGGUGAGUCGACCCCUAAGGCGAGGCCGAAAGGCGUAGUCGAUGGGAAACGGGUUAAUAUUCCCGUACUUGGUGUUACUGCGAAGGGGGGACGGAGAAGGCUAUGUUGGCCGGGCGACGGUUGUCCCGGUUUAAGCGUGUAGGUGUGUGUUCCAGGUAAAUCCGGUUCACUUUAACACUGAGGCGUGAUGACGAGGCACUACGGUGCUGAAGCAACAAAUGCCCUGCUUCCAGGAAAAGCCUCUAAGCAUCAGGUAACAUCAAAUCGUACCCCAAACCGACACAGGUGGUCAGGUAGAGAAUACCAAGGCGCUUGAGAGAACUCGGGUGAAGGAACUAGGCAAAAUGGUGCCGUAACUUCGGGAGAAGGCACGCUGACACGUAGGUGAAGUGAUUUACUCA
rnacentral:rRNA from 1 species